rnacentral:lncRNA from 1 species
CACCGUCCCACAUGUGACUACUGCCUCUGCAUGGCUUGCAACUAUUGCAAUCACCAUAGCAGCUAUGAACAUUACUGAUAAGCUUGCAACCUUAGCCAUUUUGAUGAAAUAUAGUUUUGAAAUAAGAAAAAGUUGUGAUUUUUGAAGUAAUAGUUUAGCUUUGCAAAAGUGAAGUAGGUGUGGGAGAAGAAUGGUCGAAAUAAAAGAAGUUGUGAUUUUUGAAAUAAUAGUUUAGCUUUGCAAAGUGAAGUAGGUGUGGGAGAAGAAUGGUACUUGAAUGCCCUUAUAUAGAAGAAGUUUAUGACUAAUC